rnacentral:rRNA from 1 species
CCUACGGGAGGCAGCAGUAGGGGAUAUUGCACAAUGGGGGAAACUCUGAUGCAGCGACGCCGCGUGAGGGAAGAAGGUUUUCGGAUUGUAAACUCCUUUUGUUAGGGAAGAUAAUGACGGUAUCUAACGAGUAAGCACCGGCUAACUACGUGCCAGCAGCCGCGGUAAUACGGAGGGUGCAAGCGUUACUCGGAAUCACUGGGCGUAAAGGGCGCGUAGGCGGGACAGCAAGUCAGAUGUGAAAUCCUACGGCUUAACCAUAGAACUGCAUUUGAAACUGUUAUUCUAGAGUAUGGGAGAGGUAGGUGGAAUUCUUGGUGUAGGGGUAAAAUGCGUAGAGAUCAAGAGGAAUACUCAUGGCGAAGGCGACCUGCUAGAACAUAACUGACGCUGAUGCGCGAAAGCGUGGGGAGCAAACAGGAUUAGAUACCCGUGUAGUC